GACGAACGCUGGCGGCGUGCUUAACACAUGCAAGUCGAGCGGUAAGGCCCUUUCGGGGGUACACGAGCGGCGAACGGGUGAGUAAUACGUGGGUGACCUGCCUUUAGCUCUGGGAUAAGCCUGGGGAAACUGGGUCUAAUACCGGAUACGACUCCGCGGUGCAUGCUGUGGGGUGGAAAGCCUUGUGCGGCUGGAGAUGGGCCCGCGGCCUAUCAGCUUGUUGGUGGGGUGAUGGCCACCAAGGCGACGACGGGUAGCCGGCCUGAGAGGGCGACCGGCCACACUGGGACUGAGACACGGCCCAGACUCCUACGGGAGGCAGCAGUGGGGAAUCUUGCGCAAUGGGCGAAAGCCUGACGCAGCGACGCCGCGUGAGGGAUGAC
rnacentral:rRNA from 1 species